rnacentral:rRNA from 1 species
GUUAUAUGGUCAAGCGAAUAAGCGCACACGGUGGAUGCCUAGGCGGUCAGAGGCGAUGAAGGACGUGGUAGCCUGCGAAAAGUGUCGGAGAGCUGGCAACAAGCUUUGAUCCGGCAAUAUCCGAAUGGGGAAACCCACUGCUUCGGCAGUAUCCUGCAGUGAAUUCAUAGCUGCUGGAAGCGAACCCGGUGAACUGAAAUAUCUAAGUAACCGGAGGAAAAGAAAUCAACCGAGAUUCCCUAAGUAGUGACGAGCGAACGGGGAGCAGCCCUUAAGCUGGAAUGGCUUUAGAAAAACAAUCUGGAAAGAUUGGCCAUAGAAGGUGAUAGCCCUGUAUUUAAAAGGGCCACUCCAGUGAAGACGAGUAGGGCGGGGCACGUGAAACCCUGUCUGAAUAUGGGGGGACCAUCCUCCAAGGCUAAAUACUCCUGACCGACCGAUAGUGAACCAGUACCGUGAGGGAAAGGCGAAAAGAACCCCGGAGAGGGGAGUGAAAUAGAUCCUGAAACCGUGUGCGUACAAGCAGUAGGAGCUCGCAAGAGUGACUGCGUACCUUUUGUAUAAUGGGUCAGCGACUUACUGUUCGUGGCAAGCUUAACCGUAUAGGGGAGGCGAAGGGAAACCGAGUCUGAUAAGGGCGCAUAGUCGCGGGCAGUAGACCCGAAACCGGGUGAUCUAGUCAUGGCCAGGGUGAAGGUGCCGUAACAGGUAC